rnacentral:rRNA from 1 species
UACGUAGGGGCCAAGCGUUGUCCGGAUUCAUUGGGCGUAAAGGGUGUGUAGGUGGCGCCGUAAGUCGGGUGUGAAAUUUCGGAGCUUAACUCCGAAACUGCAUUCGAUACUGCGGUGCUUGAGGACUGGAGAGGAGACUGGAAUUCAUGGUGUAGCAGUGAAAUGCGUAGAGAUCAUGAGGAAGACCAGUGGCGAAGGCGGGUCUCUGGACAGUCCCUGACACUGAGACACGAAGGCCAGGGGAGCAAACGGG